AUACUUACCUGGACGGGGUCAAUGGGCUUUCAAGAAGGCCCAUGGCCUAGCUUGGUGACUUCCAUUGCACCUAGGAAGGGUGCUGAGUUAAGGUCUGCCCAAGUUGGUGGAACCUACGUCAUAAUUUGUGACAGCGGGGGCCUGCGUUCGCGCGGCCUCUAU